GGCGCCUGACACGGCUCGUAUUCACAGACCGUGAGAUCAUGACCCGAGCAGAAAUCGAGAGUCAGAGGCUUAACCGGCUGAGUCACCCAGGCGCCCCAGGCCACACCACCUUCUCAACCAGGGACAAUUCGAGGCCUGUUUGACAUCCCGGUUCUUACUGAGAGGAGCUAACAUAAGUAACACAACUAAUACGCCAAAGAAAUACGAUGGCCAAGAAAUACCUGAAAAUGUCCAACUUCAUCGGUCGUCAAGAAAUACAAAUGAAAAUAGCUACAGGAAGACUGAGAUUACAGGCACAGCCUCCAAGGCCGAGGGUCUCCCCACAGCCCACCGUCCGGCUGUGAUGAAGGAUGGGGCCUGGGGCUGGAGGGGACUCAGCCGAGAGCAGCCCCAGGUUGGCCAAAUCGUCCCUUCUGGACAGGGGAGCGUGUCCCGCCGACAGGAGACCUAACAGCCGGGGGAGGCGCCGUACCUGGCCUGCUCCAUGUCACAAAGGUAUGUUUGCCCGACCACCUCUUCAUGGUAAGUCGCUGCUUCUUGCAACUUCAAAUCGGAACAAACUAGGGCAAGUCUAGGGGCAGGGGGCCAAUAAGGAGAGUUAAUGGGGUCACACAGGACCUGGUGGAUCAGAGUCAGGCUGUACUAGGACCUGAUAAAAAUUGGUAAACGGAAAAAGAAAUGUAUA